CACAGUCGUUGAGAGAGGUGCGUGUGUUUAUUGCGUGGCCGCUGAGUUACCGCUGUCGAAAGAAAGAAGCUUCUGCAAAUGGCGUUAACGAACGCAGAAAAGCAACGUCGUUAUAGGCUUAAAUUAAAGUCAGACCCUAUAAAAAAUGCUGAAGCCAAAAAAAAACAUCUUGAAAGGUACCACGCAAAUAAAAAACUUGUAAAAGAUAUGACAGAGCGUGAACACAGAAAUAUCAAGCGUAAAUGGAAGACUGCGAACAAGAAACGACGAGAACGUCAAAAGUGUGCUCAACAAAUUAUGAACAUUACACCGGCGUCCAGCCCACGGUCAGGAACUCCAGUUUCACCAAGAUCUAGAGGCCGAAGACAAAUACGAAGAGAUCGCUCUGCAGUUUACAGAAAAAAUUUGAAAAUUCAGGAAGAACUCGAAAAGAUGAAACGGCUGUGCAAUAAAUACAAAAAGAGAUACCAACGAGCUAAAACUACAAUCAAAGACACGAAAAA